rnacentral:rRNA from 1 species
GAUGAACGCUAGCGGGAGGCUUAACACAUGCAAGUCGAGCGGGAAGGGUAGCAAUACCCUGAGAGCGGCGCACGGGUGCGUAACGCGUAUGUAACCUGCCUUAUACAGGGGGAUAGCCCAUGGAAACGUGGAUUAACACCCCAUAGGACUGGAAUUUCGCAUGGGAAUUCAGUUAAAAUUACGGUGGUAUAAGAUGGGCAUGCGUCUGAUUAGGUAGUUGGUAGGGUAACGGCCUACCAAGCCGACGAUCAGUAGGGGUUCUGAGAGGAUUACCCCCCACACUGGUACUGAGACACGGACCAGACUCCUACGGGAGGCAGCAGUGAGGAAUAUUGGUCAAUGGGCGAGAGCCUGAACCAGCCAUCCCGCGUGCAGGAUGACGGCCCUAUGGGUUGUAAACUGCUUUUCUGCUCCAAGAAACCUGAUUACGCGUAAUCAGUUGACGGUAGAGUAGGAAUAAGCAUCGGCUAACUCCGUG